GGUGAGAUGGCCGAGUGGUUGUGGCGCUGCGUUCAGGCUAACCCUGAACUUGUAUGUCGUCAGACAUAAUGAACAAAAUUCGCAGUGGAGCAAUCCGCGUGGGUUCGAGUCCCACUCUCAUCA